CCUACGGGUGGCAGCAGUGGGGAAUAUUGGUCAAUGGGCGGAACCCUGAUCCAGCGACGCCGCGUGAGUGAAGCAGUAUUUCUGUAUGUAAAGCUCUAUCAGCAGGGGAGUAAAUUACGGUACCUGACUAAUCCUCCCCGUCUAACUACGUUCCAGCCGCCGCGGUUCUACGUAGGGGGCAGGCGUUAUCCGGAUUUACUGGGUGUAACGGGAGCUGAGACGGUGGAUGAAGUGUGAUGUGAAAGGUCUGGGCCGAACCCCGAGACUGCAUUGGAAACUGGUGAACUGGAGUACAGGAGAGGUAAGCGGAAUUCGUAGUGUAGCGGUGAAAUGCGUAGAUAUGAGGAGGAACACCAGUGGCGAAGGCGGCUUACUGGACUGUAACUGACGUUGAGGCUCGAAAGUGUGGGGAGCAAACAGGAUUAGAUACCCUUGUAGUC
rnacentral:rRNA from 1 species